UAGGGAAUCUUCGGCAAUGGACGGAAGUCUGACCGAGCAACGCCGCGUGAGUGAAGAAGGUUUUCGGAUCGUAAAGCUCUGUUGUUAGAGAAGAACGUUGGUAGGAGUGGAAAAUCUACCAAGUGACGGUAACUAACCAGAAAGGGACGGCUAACUACGUGCCAGCAGCCGCGGUAAUACGUAGGUCCCGAGCGUUGUCCGGAUUUAUUGGGCGUAAAGCGAGCGCAGGCGGUUCUUUAAGUCUGAAGUUAAAGGCAGUGGCUUAACCAUUGUACGCUUUGGAAACUGGAGGACUUGAGUGCAGAAGGGGAGGGUGGAAUUCCAUGUGUAGCGGUGAAAUGCGUAGAUAUAUGGAGGAACACCGGUGGCGAAAGCGGCUCUCUGGUCUGAAACUGACGCUGAGGCUCGAAAGCGUGGGGAGCAAACAGG
rnacentral:rRNA from 1 species